CUUAAUUCAUGCAAGGAAAGGCUGCUGUAUGCACAGCUAUCUAGGUGGCUCUGCAUUUUCAUCUUUGGACUUCGUCCUAAUCAGAUUUAUUCCAUUAAUGGCUUAAAAUCCUGCUGUGGUUCUCCUGAGCUGUUCUGUUUUCCCUGAGGACUCUGGUUCCUUCCUGUAUGGUCUGCUGUCUUUUGCUGUUUUACCUUUUUGCAUUGUAUGUCUGAAAGCUCCUGAAGAAACUCGUCGGAGU